GUAGCAAAGAGCUUCUUAUUCUUUUCUAUGGCUACAUGGCCUCCUGCAACAGAAGCCAGUAGGAAAAUAGUGUGUUAAAAAUAUAUUUUAGAAAAAUCACUCUAGGGCCAGGUGUGGUGGCUCACGCUUGUAAUCCUAGCACUUUGGGAGGUCGAGGCAGGCAGAUCACUUGAGGUCAUGAAUUCGAGACCAGCCUGGCCAACAUGGUGAAACCCCAUCUCUACUAAUAAUACAAAAAUUAGCCAGGUGUGUUGGGUGCUGGUAAUCCCAGCUAUUCCAGAAGCUGAAGCAGGAGAAUUGCUUGAACCAGCAGAGAGGGGGAGGUUGCAGUGAGCCAAGAUCUCGCCACUGCACUCCAGCCUGGGCGACAGAGUCAGACUCCACGUCAAAAACAAACAAACAAAAACAACAACAACAACAACAAAAAGAUCCCUCUGGCCACUGUUAAAAACUGACAGAGCUUUGAAGAAAAGCAGAAGCCAAAGCUGGAGAGAUUCCAAUCACAGCAGCACUGAGCAUAGACAUUCUCCUUUUAAAUGCAAACAGCUUUGAGAAGAGUAACUCAGGCCCGAAAAGAGAGC
rnacentral:lncRNA from 10 species